rnacentral:lncRNA from 10 species
GAGAAUCGCUUGAACCCAAGAGGCGGAGACUGCAGUGAGCCAAGAUCAUGCCAUUGCACUCCAGCCUGGGCGACAGAGUGAGACCCUGUUUCAUAAAUAAAUAAAAUCACUCUUUUUACUUUAUAUAUUUUUUGAGACAGGAUCUUGUGGUACGCAGGCUGGAGUGCAGUGGUGUGUGAUCACAGCUCAUUGUAGCCUCGACCUCCCCUGGGCUCAAGCAGUCUUCCUGCCUCAGCCUCCUGAGUAGCUAGGACUACAGGUGUAAGCCACCAUGCCUGGCCCUUAAUUUUUUUUAAUGAGCAUGUACAGUAGUCCCGCUUUAUCCAUGGUUUCACUUACCACAAUUUCAAUUACCUGUUUUCAACUGCAGUCAGUUACUUUUCUUAAGAUAUUUUGAGGGUUAUAGGCUCAUGCCUAUAACCCCAGCACUUUGAGAGGCCAAGGCCAGCAGAUCCCUUGAGCCCAGGAGUUCAAGACCAGUGUGGGCAACAUGGUGAAACUCUGUCUCUACAGAAAAUACAAAAAUUAGCCAAAUGUGGUGGCAUGUGCCUGUAGUCCCAGCUGGGGUGGGAGGUUAGCUUGAGCCUGGAAGGUGGAGGUUGCAGUAAGUCGAGAUCACGCUACUGCACUCCAGCCUGGGCGACAGAGCAAAAGUCUGUCUCAAAAAAAACAAAAAAAAUUUGAAAGAUCACAUUCACAUAACUUUUAUUACGGUAUAUUGUUAAAGUUGUUCUUUUUUUUUUAGAGUUUGGUACCAUCUUGGUUUCAGGCAACCACUGGGGGUCUUGAAACAUACCACCCGCAGAUACGGGGGGCUACUAUGUACUUUUUGUAUUAAAAAAUAGGAAGUGUAUGUGUGUGUGUUAGAGACAUGUAAAUAAAAUUUCAAGGCCUGAAAAGUAGUCAAAGUUUUAUAGAAUAACAUAAUUUAGCCAUAUUGUUCACUGUAAAAUUCCACAAAGAAAAGCCUAAGGACCCUGUAGCACGUAAAGAGAUUCUUGUCAUUACUCAUGUGACUGUAAGUGUUCCCCCAGGCAACAUGUCAGACAACCAUGGGGAAAAAUGAGGCCAAGUAGACUAAAAUAAGACACUCAUAUAUAUUUCUAGCCUAAAGGAGUGUUCUGUUUUCUUCUUUUUCGAGUGUCAUAUUUGCCCAUUGGUCUCCCCUUUAGUUCAGUUAUGUAUUUCUUCAAAACCAGUGUUCCACAAAUACCACUUUUGCUCUGUCUGUGCUCAAGAACCCUCCAUGGCUCCAUAUCUGAUUGUUGAGACCCCUUAUCACUGGGCCAGUUCCUUGCCACAUUGUUUGCCCUGGGGGGGAGAGAGGGAAUGGCCAUCACCUGUCCUCCCCUCUGCCCCAUUUGUCCAGUGCUGUUUCUCGGAGAAGAUGACUGGUGUCUAGUUUAGAGUUAGAAUUUCAGAGUUGAGAGGGGCUUUAGAAUGGACAUUCCAACUCCCUAUUGGGAAAUGAGGAAGCAGUAGCAAGGGGUAAAUGAUGAGUCCAAAAUCACGUAGCUAGUGUUGCAGAAUAUGGGGAAAUCCCUAAAUUGGUCUGCUGACCUCUUUCCCAAUCAUUGCCUUUUAAUGACUUUUCCUUUAUGAAGUAAAAUCCAGGUUAUUUUGUUCUGCUCACGAGUUGAGCCUGUAAGCCUUUCUGUUUGCCUUUCUGCAGAAAGCUGUUUGUGAGAACCCUGUCUUGAGUACAUGACUGGACUGCACAUGCAGCAGGCCUGGGCCCUUCAACUCCAACUACAUCUGGAGGAGGGGUCCCAGUGUGAAGGGGUUGGAUAAUAGUCAUAGUGGUUCUGUACAAUCAGAAUAAAUCCUGGCUCCUGAAGAGAAG